rnacentral:misc_RNA from 1 species
GUUUACUUUUCUACACGUCUGUAUUUUGAAGUAUUGUUAUACUGACCAGUUAUAUGUAAUCUAGGUAAUAUAACAUUUUUUGUUUAUAUAAAUCUGAUAUAACGUUUUGCAGAUAGCUCUCUCUCUCUCUCUCUCUCUCUCUCUCUGAACACCCUAAACAGCUUUCACAUUGUAAGGUUCUGAUUUAAGCAUGCUGUUAUUGCUUUGUUUGGUACAAUUUUGAUGGGAUUGAUUAUGGAAAGGUUAUUCCCUCUUAUUCUGUAUAAAGGGAGGUAGUGGCACCCUUAGAAUUCAAAAUGUUCCCUUCAUACUGCAUUAGUUCAACACAAUUUUAAAUUGUCAUUUUGUUUUCAUAUCAAAAGUUACUUUCAUCAAAUUUUGGGUUAUAAGAAUGUCUUCUUAAGGACCUUAUUUGGUAAAAUUUGGUAGGUUAAGAUAGGCAUGCUCAAAUACCAGGAUAGGGUUUUGGGGCUAUUUUUUUUUUAUCUACAUGUGGUGGCAAUUUUUUAAAUAGGCAAAAUGUUUAUUUUUGCAAUACUUUUUUAUGGUUACAGUAGUUGUUGUGAUGCACCUUGAAAAAAGUCUCAAUAAAGGUCUUUGCAUUAUAUUUAUUACAGAGAUUUUAGUUUACUGCAUGGUUUUUAUUAUCAUUUCAAGUAAAAACAGGUGGAUUUUUUUCCCUUUUUUAUUGCAUGGCGUGUUUUGUAUUGCUUCCCAAGUAUUGUGCUGUAAUCGUGGCUUUUUUUUCUUUAUGAUAGAUAUACUAGUAUAGUGCUAUUCAUGCAUUGAGGGUUGAGCCUUUUAAUUUUUUUUUUUGAUGUUUGUGAAACUGACAGACCAUGAAUUAUGGAUUAUUUUCUACAAAUCUGUAUAAUCAAACUUUUCUGUGACCUGAUUUACGUGACUGAGUUUCAGACGAAUCUGAUGAGGAUCGUACUCAAAUCACACGUGUGCUAAUGUAAGGCACUCAAUAUGUACGCAAAGUUUAUUGACUUUGAACCACUAUCGUCCUAAUGCAAGGAAGUCUGGGGACUAUAAAAGAGUGAAUUUUGAACAAGUUACUGCAUUGCAACAAAGAUAGUGUUAUUGUUCUCUCAUCUCGUGUAACAUUUCACUUUUUUCCAUUUAUUGGUACAUGUUCUUUUUUCUACCAACGAUAAUAAAAUGAACAAAAUU